rnacentral:snoRNA from 1 species
UCAAAUGAUGAUCGAACUUUUUUUUUUAAAAAGUUGGAAUUACCGUCUGAACUACAUGUAGAUAUAAAAUUGGCUGUUUUCCUGAUA